CCUACGGGAGGCUGCAGUGGGGAAUAUUGCACAAUGGGGGAAACCCUGAUGCAGCGACGCCGCGUGAGUGAAGAAGUCAUUCGUUAUGUAAAGCUCUAUCAGCAGGGAAGCAAAUGACGGUACCUGAGUCAGACGCCCCGGCUAACUACGUGCCAGCAGCCGCGGUAAUACGGAGGGGGCCAGCGUUAUCCGGAUUUACUGGGGGUAAAGGGAGCGUAGACGGCAGUGCAAGUCUGGAGUGAAAGGCGGGGGCUCAACCCCCGGACUGCUCUGGAAACUGUACGGCUGGAGUGCAGGAGAGGUAAGUGGAAUUCCUGGUGUAGCGGUGAAAUGCGUAGAUAGUAGGAGGAACACCAGUGGCGAAGGCGGCUUACUGGACUGUAACUGACGUUGAGGCUCGAAAGCGUGGGGAGCAAACAGGAUUAGAUACCCCUGUAGUC
rnacentral:rRNA from 1 species